AUUAAAAAUGCAAGGAGAUUGUUGACUUGGUUUCCGGGCAUCCAUUUCUGUUGGAUUGAAUCAGUAAACAGUUCGCUGAAAAUAAAUCGUUCAGCAUCGAGGAAAUCUAGAGUAAUCUAGUUUUCAUUUAUAUUCAAACAUGAGAGCUAAGUGGCGAAAGAAGCGUAUGCGAAGGCUAAAGCGAAAAAGGAGGAAGAUGCGUGCGAGGUCCAAGUAGGCCUACCACCUACACACUCUCUGCCUGAAUGACAUUCCACUUCGCUUCUAAUGGAUAUUAUCUUCUACAAAAAUUGACAUCAUUUUUUACAAACAUUGGAUUAAUUUUCAAAUAAAUUUAUGUUGUCUAAUACUGUUAUUCGUGCAGAGAUUAUAAAAAA